rnacentral:rRNA from 1 species
AGGAUAAACGCUGGCGGCGUGCCUAACACAUGCAAGUCGAACGUCUCUUUCUUCGGGAAGAGGAGUGGCGGACGGGUGAGGAACACGUGGGAACCUGCCCUUUAGUGAGGAAUACCGGCGAGAAAUCGCCGACAAGACCGCAUAGCCCUCUUUGAUGAGAGUCAAAGAAGGAAAGCUUCGCAAGAGGCGCUAGAGGAGGGGCCUGCGUCCGAUUAGCUAGUUGGUGGGGUAAGAGCCUACCAAGGCGUCGAUCGGUAGCUGGUCUGAGAGGACGAUCAGCCACACUGGGAUUGAGAACGGCCCAGACUCCUACGGGGGGCAGCAGUGAGGAAUCUUCCGCAAUGGGGGCAACCCGUGACGGAGCAACGCCGCGUGCAGGAGGACGCUUUCGGAGUGUAAACUGCUUUCUCGAGGAAGAGUCGGACGGUACUCGAGGAAGAGCCCGGCUAACUACGUGCCAGCAGCCGC